UGUAUAUGCCUAUAUACCAUCAUGUUUCUACCUUUCGGGAAGGUACUCGGCCGGCAUGCUCCGACUCAAGGGGGUGUAGAAAUCACGUUAUUAAACCCGACUAAGGACGGGAGGUCAUAGUGCAUAAUGUAUAUUUUAAAAAUUAUGUUGACUCGGAUAUAGUCAAAAUACAAGUACAAGUAUGAAUUUUGAACAAGUUAUUGCGAAAGAUUAAAUGUUUUAUCUUUCUUCACGCUAUGUAUGUUAUAUGCAUCUACCAUGGUAUUUUUAUAUUUUGAUAUGUAUGAUAAAA
rnacentral:lncRNA from 1 species